CAUUAUUGAAUUAAAAUGAGUGGCAUUUUUAAGGCUGUCGCUGGCUUAAAUAUGUAUUAAUGGUGUCCAUUCAACGAUCUGAAGCGUUUCGUCUAUGGCGUUGUGCAAAUUCGGGUUGAUGGAGCAAGGUAGCUGGUCUUCAGCUGCUCACCAGAAUAAGCCACAACAUUGUUUGGCGUCGCCAUAUUCCUAUACCUGCUGUACCUGCUACUAUGUGGCAUUGACGGUUUGGUUAAACCAUGGCGAAUACAUUUCGAGCAUGUGCACGUCUUUUGCUGCUUAUUUCAAGUUUCUCUUUUCCUCCUGUGCACUGUUUGUAGACACUUGGGAAUAUCUGGGUGUCUAUGCAUUUUUCAUAUACACGUUUGUAUGUUUAUAGAAUGGGAUUGUAGGCAUAUAUAUAAUAAGCCUUUAAAUGAUAAUGUACAACUUUCAACAACGGAUCUCUUGGCUCUCGCAUCGAUGAAGAACGCAGCGAAAUGCGAUAAGUAAUGUGAAUUGCAGAAUUCAGUGAAUCAUCGAAUCUUUGAACGCAUCUUGCGCUCCUUGGUAUUCCGAGGAGCAUGCUUGUUUGAGUGUCAUUAAAGUACCUCAAGAAAGACCCCUUACUGUAGGGGAUUUUUUGGACUUGGGAGUUUGCUGGUCACAAAGUGAUAGGCUCUUCUGAAAAGUAUUAGUUUGCAGCACAUUGCAUUGUAUUGGUGUGAUAAGGUUAUCUAUGCCAGGAAAUGCAUUGUGGUUUUGUAUGCUAUCUAACUGUCCAUUGUUGGACAAGAUAAUAAUGACCUUGACCUCAAAUCAAGUAGGAUUACCCGCUGAACUUAAGCAUAUCAAUAAGCGGAGGAAAAGAAACUAACAAGGAUUCCCUUAGUAACUGCGAGUGAAGAGGGAAAAGCUCAAAUUUAAAAUCUGAUGGUGUUUCACUGUCCGAGUUGUAACCUAGAGAAGUGUAACCCGUGCUGGACCGUGUACAAGUCUCCUGGAAUGGAGCAUCACAGAGGGUGAGAAUCCCGUCUUUGACAUGGACUACCAGUGCAUUGUGGUUGUGCUCUCAACGAGUCGAGUUGUUUGGGAAUGCAGCUCUAAAUGGGUGGUAAAUUCCAUCUAAAGCUAAAUAUUGGCGAGAGACCGAUAGCGAACAAGUACCGUGAGGGAAAGAUGAAAAGAACUUUGGAAAGAGAGUUAAACAGUAUGUGAAAUUGUUGAAAGGGAAACGUUUGAAGUCAGUCACGUUGACUGGGGAUCAACCUUAUAGUUUUGUAGGGUGUACUUCCUAGUUGAUGGGGUCAACAUGAGUUUUGACUGCCAGAAAAAGAUAAAGGGAAUGUGGCACCUUUGGGUGUGUUAUAGCUCUUUAUCGUAUGUGGUGGUUGGGACUGAGGAAAGCAGUGUGCCGAAAGGCCGGGUUCGAC
rnacentral:rRNA from 1 species